AGUGCCACCAGAGAAGCCGCGGACCCGGCCCGCAGAUAACACCCGGGCUUGCAGAGCGCUUUCAUCUGCCCGACGCGGAAAUCUCCUGCAGCGAUCUUCUACCUUCAGCGUGCAUCCGCAGCACCCAGAGGGCACGUUAAAGAGAGAUUGAGAACCACCAGCAAAACUGCUGAUUCACUCAGACCAGAUGGCAUCUGAGAUAAAAUACGCAUUGAAUAAGAUAAAUGACCGCUUGACUAUUACAUCCUUAAUGUGGAAUGUUAAAUAGACCCUUCCCAAAAAGAAACACUGCCUUGAACCAAUCAAAUUGCUAUGCGUUAACCUUCUAUGGAAAAUGUUGACAUCCUGUUAAGCUUCCCAGACCCUGCCUGUGUAAACGACCCUCAAACUUCUCCCUUUCGAAGCACUGACCCCCAUCUUUUGGAGUCUGUGUCCUACCGGGUCGCCAUCCUCAAACUUUGCACUCAAAUAAACCAAUAUUUAAUCAUA